CUCUAACUGUGCCGCAGACUGGUCUGUCCAGGUUAUACCAGGAGAUACUGAAAGCCUGUACAUGACAGGGUUUUUAAACUGGCUUUUUGAGGCCUUAAAACAUUCACAUAAUCCGCUUUUUCCAUGAAUCUGUGGACUGAAAAGUCACAAGACGCUGUUAUAAAGCAGCCAGUUCGAGUCUGAGACGCUCAUUAUCCCACGCAUCGCUAGAUAUGACACAGUUAUUAGGAUUAAAGCCUUUUAUAAUGCUACCGUUCCAUUAACUCCCGGAGAGCCAAAUAAUGGGACAUAAAAUAAUUAGCUCACAUUUAUUUCAGUGAAAUAGAUU